ensembl:snRNA U6 U6 spliceosomal RNA
GUGCUUGCUUUAGCAGCACGUAUGCUAAAAAGAGAACAAUAUAGAGAAGAUUAGCAUGACCCCCAACAAGGAUGACAUGAAAAUUUAUGAAUCAUUCCAUAUAAAU